AUCAACGCUGGCGGCCUGCCUAACACAUGCAAGUCGAACGAGAAAGUGGAGCAAUCCCUGAGUACAGCGGCGUACGGGUGAGUAACACGUGGACUAAUCUACCCUCGAGUGGGGAAUAACCCCUGGGAAACCGGGGCUAAUACCGCAUAAUCACGGAAGUGUAAAUGCAGCAAUGCAGCUGGAGGAGGGAGUCCGCGGCUGAUUAGCUAGUUGGCAGGGUAAAUGCCUACCAAGGCAAUGAUCAAUAGCCGGCCUGAGAGGGCAGCACGGCCACACUGGCACUGAAACACGGUCCAGACUCCUACGGGAGGCAGCAGUGGGGAAUCUUGCAGCAAUGGGGGAAACCCUGAUGCAGCACUGCCGCGUGGAGCGAUGAAGUCCCUUCGGGAUGUAAAGCUCCUUUCGAUCAGGGAAGAUUAAUGACGGUACCGGCAGAAGCAGCUGCGGCUAACUACUGUGCCAGCAGCCGCGGUAAUACAGUAGGGGCAGCGAGCGUUGUUCGGAAGUUACUGGGCGUAAAGGGUGUGUAGGCGGUUGGUUAAGUUGCCUGUGAAAUCUCCUGGCUCAACUCAGGGAGUGUGCAGGCCGAAUACUGAAGUGACUAGAGUGCGGGAGAGGUAUAGUGGAAUCCCUGGUGUAGCGGUGAAAUGCGUAGAUAUCAGGGAGGAACACCUGUGGCUGUAAGCGGCGCAUCUGGACCGUAACUGACGCUGAGGACGCGAAAGCUAGGGUAGCAAACAGGAUUAGAUACCCUGGUAGUCCUACGCCCUAAACUAUGGCAUGAUUUGGUGUGAUCAGUUACCCAAUUCUGAUCCGUGCCGAAGCUAACGCGAUUAAGAUCCCGCCUGGGGAGUACAGGUCGCAAGACUGAAACUCAAAGGAAUUGACGGGGGCCCGCACAGGCGGUGGAGCAUGUGGUUUAAUUCGACGCAACGCGAAGAACCUUACCUGGGCUCUGACCUGUCACGGAGUGAAACACUUUACCCCGCAAAGGGGGUGCUCGGGAGGUCAGAAGGUGCUGCAUGGCUGUCGUCAGCUCGUGUCGUGAGAUGUUGGGUUAAGUCCCGCAACGAGCGCAACCCUUGUCCUUAGUUGCCAUCAUUAAGUUGGGAACUCUCAGGAGACCGCCAGGUGUAUAACCUGGAGGAAGGUGGGGAUGACGUCAAGUCCUCAUGGCCUUUAUGUACCAGGGCUACACACGUGCUACAAUGGACGGUACAAAGCGCUAGCGAGACCCGCAAGGGGGAGCCAAUCUCAAAAAAGCCGGUCUCAGUUCGGAUUGGCAGUCUGCAACUCGCCUCCAUGAAGCUGGAAUCGCUAGUAAUGGCAGGAUCAGCACUGCCUGCCGGUGAAUACGUUCCCGGGCCUUGUACACACCGCCCGUCACAUCACGGAAGUGGAUUGGUACUAGAAGUGCGUGCAGCUGAACCCGCAAGGGGAGGCAGCGUCCUAAGGUAAUGGAUCGGUGAUUGGGGUG
rnacentral:rRNA from 1 species